UUCCGGUUGAUCCUGCCGGAGCCAUUGCUAUCGGAGUCCGAUUUAGCCAUGCUAGUUGUGCGGGUUUAGACCCGCAGCGGAAAGCUCAGUAACACGUGGCCAAACUACCCUGUGGAUGGGAACAAUCUCGGGAAACUGAGGCUAAUUCCCAAUAACGCUCCACCCCUGGAACGGGCGGAGCUGGAAACGCUACGGCGCCACAGGAUGUGGCUGCGGUCGAUUAGGUAGACGGUGGGGUAACGGCCCACCGUGCCAAUAAUCGGUACGGGUUGUGAGAGCAAGAGCCCGGAGACGGAAUCUGAGACAAGAUUCCGGGCCCUACGGGGCGCAGCAGGCGCGAAACCUUUACACUGUACGCAAGUGCGAUAAGGGGACUCCGAGUGUGAAGGCAUAGAGCCUUCACUUUUGUACACCGUAAGGUGGUGCACGAAUAAGGGCUGGGCAAGACCGGUGCCAGCCGCCGCGGUAAUACCGGCAGCCCGAGUGAUGGCCGAUAUUAUUGGGCCUAAAGCGUCCGUAGCUGGCCGGACAAGUCCGUUGGGAAAUCUGUUCGCUUAACGAGCAGGCGUCCAGCGGAAACUGUUCGGCUUGGGACCGGAAGACCUGAGGGGUACGUCCGGGGUAGGAGUGAAAUCCUGUAAUCCUGGACGGACCACCGGUGGCGAAAGCGCCUCAGGAGGACGGAUCCGACAGUGAGGGACGAAAGCUAGGGUCUCGAACCGGAUUAGAUACCCGGGUAGUCCUAGCUGUAAACGAUGCCCGCUAGGUGUGGCGCAGGCUACGAGCCUGCGCUGUGCCGUAGGGAAGCCGAGAAGCGGGCCGCCUGGGAAGUACGUCUGCAAGGAUGAAACUUAAAGGAAUUGGCGGGGGAGCACUACAACCGGAGGAGCUGCGGUUUAAUUGGAUUCAACGCCGGAAAU
rnacentral:rRNA from 1 species